UGGACCUCAGAUCAGACAAGACCACCCGCU
rnacentral:rRNA from 1 species